GGAGCGAAAGACUAAUCAAACCCCGUGAUAGCUGGUUCUCUUCGAAAUCGCUUGAGGGCGAGCGUCGGGAAAGUAAACCGUGGAGGUAGAGCACUGGAUGGCUUAGAGUCCACACCAGGAUAUCAAAACCAAUCAAACUCCGAAUUCCACGGGAUCCAUUACCCCGGCAGUCAGACGGUGGGGGAUAAGCUCCAUCGUCGAGAGGGCAACAGUCCAGAUCGUCGGCUAAGGUGCCUAAACGUCGUUAAGUGGAAAGGAUGUGAAGUUACUUAGACAGUGAGGAUGUUGGCUUAGAGGCAGCCAUAAUUUAAACAGUGCGUAACAGCUG
rnacentral:rRNA from 1 species